AGGUCCUUUUCUACCCCUCUAUGUGCAUCCCUCCUGAACCUGGGCUUCCUGUGGAAGAGAACGACCACCCCCAAUAAAGGAGGAGCAUUUCUUCAGUCAAGGGUAUAUGAGUAGCUGCACUGCCCCCAUUAGAACCUCCAAAGAAACACGCAAUUCUCACCUGUUUCGUAGCAUUAUUGCGUCUUUAUUCAUCUUCUUUUCAUCCUAAUUCCUGAAGCACUCUAG
rnacentral:snRNA from 1 species